GCUGGGUGUGCUGGCACAGGCCUGUAAUCCCAGUUGCUCAGGAGGCUGAGGCAGGAGGAUUGCAAGUUCGAAGCCAGCCUCAGCAACUUAGCAAGACCCUGUCUCAA
rnacentral:sRNA from 1 species